rnacentral:tRNA from 1 species
GAAAUAUAUUUUUUUAAACUUCUAAUUUAAACUUUAGUGAUUAAAUAUCAUUUGUAUUUCU